rnacentral:rRNA from 1 species
UACGUAGGGUGCGAGCGUUAAUCGGAAUUACUGGGCGUAAAGCGUGCGCAGGCGGCUUUGCAAGACAGAGGUGAAAUCCCCGGGCUCAACCUGGGAACUGCCUUUGUGACUGCAAGGCUAGAGUACGGCAGAGGGGGAUGGAAUUCCGCGUGUAGCAGUGAAAUGCGUAGAUAUGCGGAGGAACACCGAUGGCGAAGGCAAUCCCCCUAGGCCUGUACUGACGCUCAUGCACGAAAGCGUGGGGGAGCAAACAGGAUUAGAUACCCUGGUAGUCCACGCCCUAAACGAUGUCAACUGGUUGUUGGACGGCUUGCUGUUCAGUAACGAAGCUAACGCGUGAAGUUGACCGCCUGGGGAGUACGGCCGCAAGGUUGAAACUCA